rnacentral:rRNA from 1 species
UGGCGAACGGGUGAGUAACACGUGGGUAACCUGCCCAUCAGAAGGGGAUAACGCUUGGAAACAGGUGCUAAUACCGUAUAACACUAUUUUCCGCAUGGAAGAAAGUUGAAAGGCGCUUUUGCGUCACUGAUGGAUGGACCCGCGGUGCAUUAGCUAGUUGGUGAGGUAACGGCUCACCAAGGCAACGAUGCAUAGCCGACCUGAGAGGGUGAUCGGCCACACUGGGACUGAGACACGGCCCAGACUCCUACGGGAGGCAGCAGUAGGGAAUCUUCGGCAAUGGACGAAAGUCUGACCGAGCAACGCCGCGUGAGUGAAGAAGGUUUUCGGAUCGUAAAACUUUGUUGUUAGAGAAGAACAAGGAUGAGAGUAGAACGUUCAUCCCUUGACGUAUCUAACCAGAA